GAGUAGACCCAGUAACAGGACAAUAACGAGAUGGUUGUUUCUCUUCACACUCAUGAGCAUUUCGACCAACUUUCAUCUUCAGGUCUUCAGGUGAACACCUAAAUGUUUGGUAAGAUAGAAACGAAAGAUGCCCUUUCGAUCCGCGGUGAACCCGUCGAGGAGUCUGCUUGGAGGACCUUGUUCGCGAACGUUAAUGGCUGCACACGCCAGCUGUGACACUACUGACUUCCCCUUGCCCCAUUAGUUACGUUGGCCCAACUGACCCCGCGCGGUCGCUAGUUGCGCCAUCUGCAAAUGCAUCAACGGAUCAGGGAACGGAAAAGCUUGGCACAGCGCAGGUGACGGAGUCAAGGGGAACAGCGGAAAACGACUGGUAGAAGCAGCACAAUAAACAACGGCAGGACGAUACACGUCAACGCAACAUCCUACAACGACGACUACUGGCUCACUGAACGACGAAAGAAAGAAGCACAUACGAGAUAAGCGUGAAAAAUGUCCCUGUGUGUCAUGUGCCCCAGCAGACAAGAAGGCCGUGCCUGUUUCGCCUGGAACUCGCAGCCGUGUGUAUCUCCCGCUAAACGAUAAAAGGAUCCUAGUAGCGUGGGCGAUGGCAGCAGCAGUAGCAGCGACUAAAGCAUGAACAAUCGCAGGCAACAAGCAUUGUUUAGUUAAUAACUGGGAUCGCUGAAGUCAGAGAACAACGGCAGCGUCCGGCUUACGUUCCUGCUGGUCGCUAUAGCUGUGCGCGUAUUCGCACGUACCGUCGGAUUUACAAGACAUAAACAGUGGAUCAUUGUGAUGCUGGUGUUGAUAGUUGUGAGGCGAUGAGGAAGAACAAUAUAUGAGACAGGCAUAAGACAAAAGAUGAACUCCACAGGGCUAUCACUUGGGGAGGGUAUACGUUAAAGGGUUAUGUCGA